AGCCUGAUCCAGCCAUGCCGCGUGAGUGAAGAAGGCCUUCGGGUUGUAAGCUCUUUCGGUCCGGUAAGAAAUCGCAUGGGUCAAUACCCUGUGUGGAUGACGGUACCGGAAUAAGAAGCACCGGCUAACUACGUGCCAGCAGCCGCGGUAAUACGUAGGGUGCGAGCGUUAAUCGGAAUUACUGGGCGUAAAGCGUGCGCAGGCGGUUUUGGUAAGUCAGAUGUGAAAUCCCCCGGGCUCAACCUGGGAACUGCAUUUGAGACUGCCAAGCUGGAGUUUGGCAGGAGGGGGGGUGGAAUUCCACGUGUAGCAGUGAAAUGCGUAGAGAUGUGGAGGAACACCGAUGGCGAAGGCACGCCCCCUGGGCCAAUACUGACGCUCAUGCACGAAAGCGUGGGGAGCAAACAGGAUUAGAUACCC
rnacentral:rRNA from 1 species